rnacentral:rRNA from 1 species
UACGGAGGGUGCGAGCGUUGUUCGGAUUCAUUGGGCGUAAAGGGUGCGUAGGCGGCGCGGUAAGUCGGGUGUGAAAUCUCGGAGCUUAACUCCGAAACUGCAUUCGAUACUGCCGUGCUUGAGGACUGGAGAGGAGACUGGAAUUUACGGUGUAGCGGUGAAAUGCGUAGAUAUCGUAAGGAAGACCAGUGGCGAAGGCGGGUCUCGUGGACAGUUCCUGACGCUGAGGCACGAAGGCCAGGGGAGCAAACGGG